rnacentral:rRNA from 1 species
UUGAAAAGAGAGUUAAAAAGUACGUGAAAUUGUUGAAAGGGAAGCGUUUAUGACCAGACUUGGGCUUGGUUAAUCAUCUGGGGUUCUCCCCAGUGCACUUUUCCAGUCCAGGCCAGCAUCAGUUUUCGCCGGGGGAUAAAGGCUUCGGGAAUGUGGCUCUCUCCGGGGAGUGUUAUAGCCCGUUGCGUAAUACCCUGGCGGGGACUGAGGUUCGCGCAUCUGCAAGGAUGCUGGCGUAAUGGUCAUCAACGACCCGUCUUGAAACACGGACCAAGACGGCGGGUGCUAGUGUGUAAAGGAGUAACCCGUUUAGUAUAUUUUUUAUUCGCUGAGGUUGUUGGCUUAUUUACUCUAAAUGACCGGUCUUGAAACACGGACC